GGGGGACAGCUCUUUGGAACAGGAUACAACCUUAAUUAGAGAGUAAGCACAAAACAACAACCAUAGUUGGCCUAAAAGCAGCCACCAAUUAAGAAAGCGUUCAAGCUCAACAAAUUUAUUACCAAACUUAAUGUAAAAAAUAUACUCAAACUCCUAAUACCAAACUGGACCAAUCUAUACCAAUAUAGAAGCAAUACUGUUAAUAUGAGUAACAAGAUUUAAAUCUCCAGCACAAGUAUAUGUCAGAACAAAUACUUAACUGAUAGUUAACGGCCAAAUAAAUAUAAACCCAUUAAUAAAAUAUUUAUUUCUUCCACCGUUGACCCAACACAGGUGUGCACUCAAGGAAAGAUUAAAAGAAGUAAAAGGAACUCGGCAAACACAAACCCCGCCUGUUUACCAAAAACAUCACCUCUAGCAAACUAGUAUUAGAGGCACUGCCUGCCCAGUGACAACUGUUUAACGGCCGCGGUAUCCUGACCGUGCAAAGGUAGCAUAAUCAUUUGUUCCCUAAAUAGGGACUUGUAUGAAUGGCCACACGAGGGUUUAACUGUCUCUUACUUCCAAUCAGUGAAAUUGACCUUUCCGUGAAGAGGCGGAAAUAUAAUAAUUAGACGAGAAGACCCUAUGGAGCUUUAAUUUACCUAAUCCAAUAGAACCACUAAUUACCCACACAGGGAUAACACUCAAUUCUAACUGGAUAGAAAAUUUCGGUUGGGGUGACCUCGGAGAAUAAACCAACCUCCGAGAACUAUUACCAAGACUAACAAGUCAAAGUACAAUUGUAUUAAUUGAUCCAGUCUAACUGAUCAACGGAACAAGUUACCCUAGGGAUAACAGCGCAAUCCUAUUCUAGAGUCCUUAUCGACAAUAGGGUUUACGACCUCGAUGUUGGA
rnacentral:rRNA from 1 species